UACGUAGGUGACAAGCGUUGUCCGGAUUUACUGGGCGUAAAGAGCGCGCAGGCGGUCGUUCAAGUCGAAUGUGAAAGCCCCUGGCUCAACCAGGGAGGGUCAUUCGAUACUGUUCGACUCGAAGGCAGGAGAGGGAAGUGGAAUUUCCGGUGUAGCGGUGAAAUGCGUAGAUAUCGGAAGGAACAUCAGUGGCGAAAGCGACUUCCUGGACCAAUACUGACGCUCAUGUGCGAAAGCGUGGGGAGCAAACAGG
rnacentral:rRNA from 1 species